GUUAAAAAGCUCGUAGUUGGAUUUCUGCCGAGGACGACGGGUCCGCCCUCUGGGUGAGUAUCGUCGUUCGUCCUGGGCAUCUUCUUGGAGAACGUAUCUGCACUUCACUGUGUGGUGCGGUAUCCAGGACUUUUACUUUGAGGAAAUUAGAGUGUUUCAAGCAGGCUUACGCCGUGAAUACGUUAGCAUGGAAUAAUAAGAUAGGACUUCGGUUCUAUUUUGUUGGUUUCUAGAACUGGAGUAAUGAUUAAUAGG
rnacentral:rRNA from 1 species